GGAGCUUCUGAUGAUCGGCAAGCUGCCGUUCCAGAGGCUUGUGAGGGAGAUUGCUCAGGAUUUCAAGAUCACCAAUCUCCGGUUAAUUCCAGAGCAGCUCCAGGGAGGCGGCGGAUGAGCUAGAGAGGCUUCACUUGCUUCGUUUCUCCUAACUGUGAGGUAGACUUUUCCUCUUUUGCGUACAUGAACAACGACGCGCGAGUUGUCGGUGCAUGGUGCGGAUUGAGAUGCAGAAUUAGCAAGCUUGUUAAUAUGAAUACUUUCAAAUUGAAUAAAAUAAGAAAAAUUCGCUUGUGGGUGCUGCUUCUUGAACCAGAGAGAUGAGGAAUCAUGGGUUUUGGUGGUUGGCGCAGUGGUCAUCUCUCAAAAGAAUGAAAAACCCAACACUGAUGCUAGUCAUCUCUCAGUGAUGGAGCGGUACCGGUAGGCGAGGCUUUGCAUGGACUUGCCGGAACCCCCCGCGCCGAGCACAGCCAGCAGUUCACUUUCUCAAGCCUUGCCAGAAUCGAACAGGGCUCGGAGUAGCACCGCCAGCAAUUCACGUUCUUGAGCCUUGCCGGAGAUGUGGGAAUCGAACAGAGCUCGGAGUUGAUUGAGUCGAACGGGACGUCCAUGCCAGCGAAAUUGGACGAAUCAGAAUAAUUCAAUUUUCGUUGGCGGCGACUCUUUGAAGACGUGAAUGAGGCCUCCAUCCCACUCUAGCUACUUCGCGGUUCGAGUCGAUUCUUCCUGGCGAGAGAGGGACGGCGUCGGAGACCCGUGGUGGCGUGGUCGGUGAAUAGGUAGGCGUCGUACCAGGCAGAGAUAGAAGGAGGGGGGAGAGAGAGAGAGAAGAAGUCACCAGCAAAGAGAUAGGGAGGAGAGAGAGAGAAGAAGUCGCCGAC
rnacentral:lncRNA from 1 species